GACAGGGGUGCCGAGCGUUAGGCGGAAUCACUGGGCUUAAAGCGUGUGUAGGCGGGCCCGUAAGUGUCUUGUGAAAUCCCACGGCUCAACCGUGGAACUGCUGGGCAUACUGCGGGUCUUGGGCCAACUAGGGGCAGCCGGAACAAGCGGUGGAGCGGUGAAAUGCGUAGAUAUCGCUUGGAACGCCGAAGGUGAAAACAGGCUGCUGGGGUUGCGCCGACGCUGAGACACGAAAGCCAGGGGAGCAAACGGG
rnacentral:rRNA from 1 species